rnacentral:tRNA from 1 species
GGGAGUAGUUCAAUGGUAGAACUUCAGCCUUCCAAGCUGAUUGUGCGGGUUCGAUUCCCGUCUCCC